UCCAGCUUGAAGAUGGCCCAGUUUUGAUUUAUGUAAGCUUUGCAGUAUAGGGAGUUUUUAUAAUUUUCUGAAUGGGAAUUUUAUAAUUUUAUAUAAAGCUGGUCGUUUUCUUUAUAUAAAUCUGGUCAUUUUCAGUUGGUAGUUAAGGGCAUAUGCUUUGAGUUUAGACAUCUGCGUUCAAAUCCUGUUGAUACUCCUCACUAGCUUAUUUUGUGAGGGAAUUUAUUGUCUUUCAAAGCCUUAGUGAUCUCAACUAGAAAACAGUCAUCAUGCACCAUGCAGGAUUGUUGUGAUAAUGGAGUAGCUCGUGGAUAUAAAGUGCUCAGCACAGCCUGGUGCUAAGCGACACCUUUCCACUUGACUCCAAGCUCCAUGAUGGAUAAUUAUAUCGAGACAAGGAAACUACUGAAUUUAAAAAAAAACAAAAACAAAAACAAAA